rnacentral:misc_RNA from 1 species
GAUGAAGAACGUAGCGAAAUGCGAUAAGUAGUGUGAAUUGCAGAAUUCAGUGAAUCAUCGAAUCUUUGAACGCACAUUGCGCCCCUUGGUAUUCCAUGGGGCAUGCCUGUUCGAGCGUCAUUUGUACCUUCAAGCUUUGCUUGGUGUUGGGUGUUUGUCUCGCCUUUGCGUGUAGACUCGCCUUAAAAUAAUCGGCAGCCGGCGUAUUGAUUUCGGAGCGCAGUACAUCUCGCGCUUUGCACUCAUAACGACAGCGUCCAAAAGUACAUUUUACACUCUUGACCUCGGAUCAGGUAGGGAUACCCGCUGAACUUAAGCAUAUCAAUAAGCGGAGGA